CAAGGGUGGCUCUAUAAGAAGGAUAAUUCUUUUUUCAAUAACCUAGCUUCUUACAGAAGAAGCACUCUGUCUGGCUCUUGUCAACUUUUGAUGGUUUGCUCUGUUUGGGAUCGACAGCAUGAGAUUUUUAUACCUUUUUCUUCUUUCCUCUCUUAGAGGAUCGAUGCCCUACAGAUGAACCUCCCACUAAAUUCAUUAGCUCCUUUUGGAGCUGG
rnacentral:lncRNA from 1 species